UGGUGGAGGUGUGCGGUGUCGAACCGCAGUCCAAAAGCAAAAGACCAAAGUCUCUAUACAUGUUUAGCGAAAGUGAAAUUUCGUUUAAGAAGGCCCACUUUCAUUUUGCUAGCAGUUAGAACAACGACUAAGCAAAAAACCAAACUCUUAAACUAAGACAAGAAUUUCAUCUAAAUGUUUGUCAAACAUCUAAACUACACUAUUUAAAUGACUUGCUACUUUGCCUAAAUAGUAUCAGCAAAUGCAAGGCUCAACUGAACUUACGCUACUUUUGCGUAAGCAGGAGCAAAUUUAACGUUAUUUGCGUUUAAUUUUAAUUUGAGCUUUUAACGCUUUGCUCAAAGCGACAUGCAACCGUGACCGUUUAACUCCUGUCGAAGCCAAGUCACCCCCAU
rnacentral:tmRNA from 1 species